rnacentral:rRNA from 1 species
UACGACAUUAAGCUCAAUCCGGAAAAAUGCAUUUUUGGCGUACCCGCCGGAAAGCUCCUGGGCUUCAUCGUCUCCAGUAGAGGAAUUGAAGCAAAUCCAGCUAAAAUCCGAGCCCUGACGCAGUUGGCUAUCCCAACUAACCUCAAGCAAAUCCAGAAGUUAACUGGAUGUGUGGCGGCCUUAAGCAGCUUUAUCUCCCGAUUAGGAGAAAAGGCACUCCCCCUUUAUCGCCUUCUUCGGUGCACCGAACACUUCGAGUGGACGGACGCAGCCAUGGCCGGAUUGGAAGAAAUAAAAGCCAUACUGGCCACCAACCCAAUCUUGGCCGCGCCAAAUGUCGGCGAACCAAUGUUGUUAUAUAUAGCA